rnacentral:rRNA from 1 species
GACGAACGCUGGCGGCGUGCUUAACACAUGCAAGUCGAACGGAAAGGCCCUGCUUUUGUGGGGUGCUCGAGUGGCGAACGGGUGAGUAACACGUGAGUAACCUGCCCUUGACUUUGGGAUAACUUCAGGAAACUGGGGCUAAUACCGGAUAGGAGCUCCUGCUGCAUGGUGGGGGUUGGAAAGUUUCGGCGGUUGGGGAUGGACGCGCGGCUUAUCAGCUUGUUGGUGGGGUAGUGGCUUACCAAGGCUUUGACGGGUAGCCGGCCUGAGAGGGUGACCGGCCACAUUGCGACUGAGAUACGGCGCAGACUCCUACGGGAGGCAGCAGUGGGGAAUAUUGCACAAUGGGCGGAAGCCUGAUGCAGCAACGCCGCGUGCGGGAUGACGGCCUUCGGGUUGUAAACCGCUUUCGCCUGUGACGAAGCGUGAGUGACGGUAAUGGGUAAAGAAGCACCGGCUAACUACGUG